rnacentral:rRNA from 1 species
GACGAACGCUGGCGGCGUGCUUAACACAUGCAAGUCGAAUGGAAAGGCCCUGCUUUUGUGGGGUGCUCGAGUGGCGAACGGGUGAGUAACACGUGAGUAACCUGCCCUUGACUUUGGGAUAACUUCAGGAAACUGGGGCUAAUACCGGAUAGGAGCUCCUGCUGCAUGGUGGGGGUUGGAAAGUUUCGGCGGUUGGGGAUGGACUCGCGGCUUAUCAGCUUGUUGGUGGGGUAGUGGCUUACCAAGGCUUUGACGGGUAGCCGGCCUGAGAGGGUGACCGGCCACAUUGGGACGGAGAUACGGCCCAGACUCCUACGGGAGGCAGCAGUGGGGAAUAUUGCACAAUGGGCGGAAGCCUGAUGCAGCAACGCCGCGUGCGGGAUGACGGCCUUCGGGUUGUAAACCGCUUUCGCCUGUGACGAAGCGUGAGUGACGGUAAUGGGUAAAGAAGCACCGGCUAACUACGU